UACAGAGGUCUCAAGCGUUGUUCGGAUUCAUUGGGCGUAAAGGGUGCGUAGGCGGCGCGGUAAGUCGGGUGUGAAAUCUCGGAGCUUAACUCCGAAACUGCAUUCGAUACUGCCGUGCUUGAGGACUGGAGAGGAGACUGGAAUUUACGGUGUAGCGGUGAAAUGCGUAGAUAUCGUAAGGAAGACCAGUGGCGAAGGCGGGUCUCUAGACAGUGCCUGACGCUGAGGCACGAAGGCCAGGGGAGCAAACGGG
rnacentral:rRNA from 1 species